AAAGGGAGACCUAAUUCAGGUAAAAGACGAAAAAAAGUAGUCGCUACCAAGGAUCAAUCCCAAAAGGUCGGAGCGAGGCGAAAUUGGCUUUCAAACUAGGUUCUGGGUUCAAACAAGACCUGAAUCAGGAACAAGGGCUAUUAGCUCAGGUGGUUAGAGCGCACCCCUGAUAAGGGUGAGGUCCCUGGUUCGAGUCCAGGAUGGCCCACCUGCACAGGUGGCAAAAACAAGAGAAGCGAGGAAUCAGCACCUUAUCUUACUUAUAUAGUAAGAGAGAAUGCUGGCUCUGAGUAAAGAGUCCAGAGGAACCUUGAAAACUGCAUAGAGCUAGGUGAAAAAGCCAAAAAAGAAGACCGCAAG
rnacentral:tRNA from 1 species